CAAAUUAUUGAAGAAUGACAAUGAUAGUCAUCGGAACGUUUCGUGUAUAACCUGUACGAUAUGAAGGAGAAAAUAUGUUUAUUUUCCAUUAAAAAAGAGAGACGAAAGAUACUAGAAGGACUUUCAAACUUAGAAAUCGAAAAAUAACUGAUAAAGCCAUGGCUAAAAUUAAAAAGACAAACAAAUAGUAGUACACAAAACAAAAUAUAGAAAAGAAAAUUAAAGCCUGAGCAAAACAAACCCC
rnacentral:lncRNA from 1 species